AUGUUAAGCCAAUUGUGCAUCACAACUUCAAUGCAACUUCUCCUUGAAUUCAAACAAUCACAACUUCACCUUGAAUUCAAACAAUCACAACUUCACCAUUCCAUCAUAAAUCUAGCCUAUGCCACAUUUCUUCAACAUCACCAUGUCAAAAUAACAUUCCUACAACUUAUACUCCUUCUCUUAAUUCAAGUUUUAUUGCCUAAACAUUACCACAAACACCUUAUGUGCAUUAGUUUCCUUCAACAAGAAUUAAUGCUCAAUUCCACAAAUUCUAUGUCCAAUUCUUAA